rnacentral:rRNA from 1 species
AAUGAACGUUGGCGGCGUGGAUUAGGCAUGCAAGUCGUACGGGUCGGUGUAGCAAUACAACGGCAAGUGGCGAAAGGGAGAGUAACACGUAGAUACCUACCCUCUGGUCGGGGAUACCGCGGCAUAACCGCAAGUAAUACCCGAUAAAAUCUCCGGAUCAAAGGUGUGAUUCCGCCGGAGGAGGGGUCUGCGUUCUAUCAGCUUGUUGGUGAGGUAAUGGCUCACCAAGGCUAAGACGGAUACGGGGUGUGAGAGCAUGCCCCCGCUCACUGGGACUGAGACACUGCCCAGACACCUACGGGUGGCUGCAGUCGAGAAUCUUCGGCAAUGGGCGCAAGCCUGACCGAGCGACGCCGCGUGCGGGAUGAAGGCCUUCGGGUUGUAAACCGCUGUCGAGGGGAAUGAAGUGUAGGUGGGUACUCUCAUCUAUUUGACAGAUCCCUGGAGGAAGCAUGGGCUAAGUUCGUGCCAGCAGCCGCGGUAACAC